UUAUAAAAUUCCACCCAAGGUCCAUAUUU
rnacentral:piRNA from 1 species